rnacentral:rRNA from 1 species
UGGAGGGCAAGUCUGGUGCCAGCAGCCGCGGUAAUUCCAGCUCCAAUAGCGUAUAUUAAACUUGUUGCAGUUAAAAAGCUCGUAGUUGAAUUUCAGCGUUUCGCGUGUGCCUCUUUUGGCCCAUCUCGUCUCGCUUUUUUUAUUACUUUGAGAAAAUUAGAGUGUUUCAAGCAGGCUUUUGUCUUGAAUACUUGAGCAUGGAAUAAUAGAGUAGGACCUUGGUUCUAUUUUGUUGGUUUUGUUACCUUGGUAAUGGUUAAUAGGAACGGUUGGGGGCAUUCGUAUUUAACUGUCAGAGGUGAAAUUCUUAGAUUUGUUAAAGACGAACUACUGCGAAAGCAUUUGCCAAGGACGUUUCCAUUAAUCAAGAACGAAAGUUAGGGGAUCGAAGACGAUCAGAUACCGUCGUAGUCCUAACCAUAA